rnacentral:rRNA from 1 species
GAUGAACGCUGACAGAAUGCUUAACACAUGCAAGUCAACUUGGACUUCGGUUUGGGUGGCGGACGGGUGAGUAACGCGUAAAGAACUUGCCUCACAGAUAGGGACAACAUUUGGAAACGAAUGCUAAUACCUGAUAUUAUGAUUUUAGGGCAUCCUAGAAUUAUGAAAGCUAUAUGCGCUGUGAGAGAGCUUUGCGUCCCAUUAGCUAGUUGGAGAGGUAACGGCUCACCAAGGCGAUGAUGGGUAGCCGGCCUGAGAGGGUGAUCGGCCACAAGGGGACUGAGACACGGCCCUUACUCCUACGGGAGGCAGCAGUGGGGAAUAUUGGACAAUGGACCGAGAGUCUGAUCCAGCAAUUCUGUGUGCACGAUGAAGUUUUUCGGAAUGUAAAGUGCUUUCAGUUGGGAAGAAAUAAAUGACGGUACCAACAGAAGAAGUGACGGCUAAAUACGUGCCAGCAGCCGCGGUAAUACGUAUGUCACGAGCGUUAUCCGGAUUUAUUGGGCGUAAAGCGCGUCUAGGUGGUUAUGUAAGUCUGAUGUGAAAAUGCAGGGCUCAACUCUGUAUUGCGUUGGAAACUGUAUAACUAGAGUACUGGAGAGGUAAGCGGAACUACAAGUGUAGAGGUGAAAUUCGUAGAUAUUUGUAGGAAUGCCGAUGGGGAAGCCAGCUUACUGGACAGAUACUGACGCUAAAGCGCGAAAGCGUGGGUAGCAAACAGG